GACAGAGAGGGCAAGCGUUGCUCGGAAUCACUGGGCGUAAAGGGCGCGUAGGCGGGAUGGCAAGUCGGUCGUGAAAUCCUUCGGCUCAACCGAAGAACGUCGGCCGAUACUGCCGUUCUUGAGGGAUGCAGAGGAGAUUGGAAUUCCCGGUGUAGCGGUGAAAUGCGCAGAUAUCAGGAGGAACACCGAUGGCGAAGGCAGGUCUCUGGGCCAUAACUGACGCUGAGAAGCGAAAGCAUGGGGAGCGAACAGG
rnacentral:rRNA from 1 species